rnacentral:rRNA from 1 species
UACGUAGGGUGCGAGCGUUGUCCGGAAUUAUUGGGCGUAAAGGGCUCGUAGGCGGUUUGUCGCGUCGGGAGUGAAAUCCACUGGCUUAACUGGUGGUUUGCUUUCGAUACGGGCAGACUGGAGGUAUGCAGGGGAGAACGGAAUUCCUGGUGUAGCGGUGAAAUGCGCAGAUAUCAGGAGGAACACCGGUGGCGAAGGCGGUUCUCUGGGCAUGUCCUGACGCUGAGGAGCGAAAGUGUGGGGAGCGAACAGG